rnacentral:lncRNA from 1 species
AACAACUAUCAGUGAGAGAUGGCAAAUUAUCACUUCCUUCUGACAACAGAGCUUGUCACUCAUCCCCGUUGCCUGGAGACUCAGCGGGAUCAUCUGGCGGCUCAGGAGGAGAUGCACAACCCACCUCUACUUUGACAUUUGUUCCCUCAUGGAACUUUUCAAUGGAAAGAGAGUUGGGGUGACACAGGCCACACCUCACUGCAGGACUUCAAUGUGCUUGUCUAGGUUGCUUUGUUUUUCUAAGCUCCAUCCACUGCUCCAUUAGUCUGUGACCCAGAAUGGAAGCACUCGCAGCAGUGCAAAACAUAAACUCAGCUUGGCGUCUAACCAAGAUUUCCUUUGCUGUAAUCAAGAUGACUUCUGACAAGAUGAAGGAGGAGCAGAAAAGCUGACGAGUAGUCUUGAAGAAUUUGUGCAAUGGUCAAGUAUCCUCCUGUAGUUGGGUGAAGCACAGGCCAGAAGUCAGAAGCAACCCCGAAGACUUCCGGCUUUUCUUUUAAGAGCCUCAGAAAAGAGAUUAACUGGAGAAAGGCUUUAUCUCUGAUCCAGAUGUGAUACUGACUGAAGGGCUGGGAAGAAUGGUCUGUGCAUCUCUAGGAAGGCAUUUCUUUUUCUCUUCUUUGUAAAAACAUUUUUGGAUUACAAAGUGAUUUACUUAAAGUUUGAAUUGUUAAAUUCUAAACAUAGAAAGGAUAAACGAAGCAUGAAAUUUAUAAAUACCUGAAAUACAAGUGUCAAUGAUGUUUCCAAUUUUAGUCAAGUUUUAAUUAAAUGUUGUUUGCAUAUUUUAAAUUUUAUUUGCUUUUGCAAGAAGGUAUUUCUUGUUAGAAUAAAUUCUCCAGGGAAUCAGAGUGAUAAGUUCCAAAGCCAGUGAUCCAGUGUGGUCAGACCUGAGGAACCAUGGCCCAGGGACAAAUCAUGCUUAAGCCAUACGCUGCCUGAGAAGGAGAAGAUCAAAGACAGGUCUGUUCAAUUCCCAAAGCCUUUUGUAGGUCUUGGAGAAGCCUGCAGACAACUUUAGAUUGUGUUGUCAGUCAGAUGGGAUGGAGACUGAUGGGCAGAAUGUGGAUUGAUUAGAAAGAAAGCAAUGAAGGAAGAUGCCUCUGGUACACCUGUGUUAUGGAUGAGAUUGAUACUACCUAUGCUGUAGAGAUAUAGUGACUCCAAGAUCUCUGUCAUUGCAACUUGAAUCUUCUAGAACGACAUGAUUUUUCAUUCCAUAGAAAAGAUCUAACAUAUAUAGUACAUUUUUUGAGAAUGUAAAUUGGAAUUAUGUAGGAGCUGUGGAAAGAGCUUCUGAAUUAGACUGAGUGUGACUGGUGUGGCUGGUGUGGCUUGGAUCUUGGAGUGAUAGGAGAGACUGGAUAGUUAAGGACUGUCAGCUGGGAAGGAGUAGCCAGCAGGGUCUAGGGAUGGACAUUCAAGAAGCAGUCUUAGAGAGCCAGGCAAAUCUUGGAGUUCUGUGAAUUCCAGGAUUCUGUUGUCCUGGGGUACCAAAGCCAGGGUCAGGAAUCAUUUGGAAUUAAAAAUAAAUCUAUGGCUAGCCUCCCUACAUCUUGAUGGAUAACUAGGGAAGGGAAGUCAAAGAAAGAAGCAGAGAAGACCAGAAAAGCAAAUAUAUCAGCAAAUAUAACCAAGAUAAACAGGAGAUGAUGCAGACAGUCCUUUCUAUUCCAGUUUGAGAGUAGGGAAGCUCUGGGUUGCAGGUGUGCACUUGGAAGGAGAUAUAUCUGGGUGAAAUGCUGAGGUUCCCAGCUGGACUGAGUUCUUGAUGGAACCAAGCAGGAGAGCUGAGAUCACAGGAUGACUGCUGAAAAGGAUGCAGGGACCCCUAUCUCAGCCAGGAGAUAGAGGGGACUGAGUUGGGAGAUCAAAGCAGACUCUUCUAGGUAUUAUCCUCAACCACAAGACAGUUACAAUAACACAGUUAAGGGAAAUCAGUUGGAAUAAGAUCAGUCCUUGGCUUUAUCCACAUCCAGGGAAUUUGAAAAGAAUGUUGUUUAUUCAGGAGGGAAAAGAAGAAUAAAACUAGGAAUUCUUUCUUUCUUCCUUCCUUUUUUUCUUUCUCCCCUUCAUUCUUUCCUUCUUUCUUCCUUUCUCUACCCCUCCCUCUCUUCUUCCCUCCCCCUCUACAUCCCUCUCUUCCUUCCUCCUUUUCUUCCUUCCUUCUUUUCUUUUUUCUCCCCCUCCUUCCCCUCUUCUCUUUUU